UGGAAUCUAAAACAGGCCCAGGUAGUAUAAAUGAAUUCUGCUGCUGAUGAAUAUUUGAUAUCAUGGCUGUUUGUUGAGGGGGUGAACUGAAAUACAGGUAGCUGGAAUUGAAUAUUUAAUGUCACUAGUUUUUCUUAAUCAUCAAUGAAAGAAGACUAAUGUCACUAGUUUUUCUUAAUCAUCAAUGAAAGAAGACUGUAACUUGAAUCUUCUGGGGGACCGGUUCGUCAAAUAAUUUUGAUCAUUGUUUGGUGUGAUUUAAGGUGGUUGAAGCUGUUGGGUUCAAGGGUCAAAAGCUCGAGACUCCAGGCUAUGUGAACCCUGCG
rnacentral:lncRNA from 1 species